rnacentral:rRNA from 1 species
GACGAACGCUGGCGGUGUGCUUAACACAUGCAAGUCGAACGGUAAGGCCCUUUCGGGGGUACACGAGUGGCGAACGGGUGAGUAACACGUGAGUAACCUGCCCUCAUCUCUGGGAUAACAGUCGGAAACGGUUGCUAAUACUGGAUAUGAGCUUGCAAGGCAUCUUGUGGGUUGGAAAGAUUUUUUUGGUUGGGGAUGGACUCGCGGCCUAUCAGCUUGUUGGUGAGGUAGUGGCUCACCAAGGCUUCGACGGGUAGCCGGCCUGAGAGGGCGACCGGCCACAUUGGGACUGAGAUACGGCCCAAACUCCUACGGGAGGCAGCGGUGGGGAAUAUUGCACAAUGGACGGAAGUCUGAUGCAGCAACGCCGCGUGCGGGAUGACGGCCUUCGGGUUGUAAACCGCUUUCAAUUGUGACGAAGCUUUUUGUGACGGUAGCAGUAGAAGAAGCACCGGCUAACUACGUG